UACGUAGGGUGCGAGCGUUGUCCGGAAUUAUUGGGCGUAAAGAGCUUGUAGGCGGUUUGUCGCGUCUGCUGUGAAAAUCCGGGGCUCAACCCCGGACUUGCAGUGGGUACGGGCAGACUAGAGUGUGUCAGAGGAUGGUGGAAUUCCCGGUGUAGCGGUGAAAUGCGUAGAGAUAUGGAGGAACACCUGCGGUGUAGACGGCUUACUGGACGGUAACUGACGCUGAGGCACGAAAGCGUGGGUAGCAAACAGG
rnacentral:rRNA from 1 species